UUUCAUAUUGUUGAGGAUUGUUCCCACACAUUGACCCGAUGGUACUUCAAGAGUGAAGAUGAUGACUGUUUCCCUUUUGAGUACAGCCCAUGUACUUAUACUAAAAACAGCUUUCAGACUCGUACUGCUUGUAGGAUGACCUGUUUCCAAUACAGGACAAUGAAGAUCAAAAAAUAUUUUUGAGAUUUACUGUGAUGGGUUAGGCAAAUCCAUCCCUCUGACAUGUUUCAGCAAUCUCCCUGUAUCAGAGAAUAGAACAGAUACUGGACUCCUCAAGCAUCAUCUUGUCUCCUGCCUACUUUUCCAGAAUCUCCCCAAUAUCCCAUUGCAAGGAUGCUUCCAGCCUCUGACUGAAGGCCUCCAGAGAUGGGGAGCUCACUCCCUUCCAAGGAUACCCAUUCCAUUCUUGCAUAUCAGGAUGUUUGAUCAUAUACACAAGGUCCUCCAAAAAGUCAGCCCCAAACCACAGAUUAGAUUCCCUCAUAUCCUGACACUUCUUAAGUGUGAGCCUACUAGUCUUACUUUUCUCAUCUAUCGUGUGAGGGGUGGAGUUGGGGGCCUCUGAGCAAGGCCAGUCUCACAUUGUGAGCAGAUAUGAUAAAAUGACUUGUCCAGGAUCACACAGCUAGGAAGUGAGGGAGAAAUGAACCCAGUACUGCUCGGUACCCAGAUAAUACUCUAUCUACUAUGAUUCCUUUAGUGAGUCCUUUAACAAUUAUGUUUUUCCUAAGUUGAUGUCCUGUUUGUCCUGUGAAUAAAGCAUUUUAAAAUGAA